UACGUAGGGUGCAAGCGUUGUCCGGAAUUAUUGGGCGUAAAGGGCUCGUAGGCGGUCCAUCACGUCGGGAGUGAAAAGCUGGGGCUUAACCCCAGUCCUGCUUCCGAUACGGGUGGACUAGAGGUAGGCAGGGGAGAACGGAAUUCCUGUGUAGCGGUGAAAUGCGCAGAUAUCAGGAGGAACACCGGUGGCGAAGGCGGGUCUCUGGGCAACAACUGACGCUGAGGAGCGAAAGCGUGGGGAGCGAACAGG
rnacentral:rRNA from 1 species